GGUGAAAAAAAACCUUUUGGUCAUGAUUGCUCUAGUGCAAGAAGGAAAAAGAAGGUGAAGAAUGCAACUAAGUACUGGAUAUGUGAGAAGGUGAAGGACUGGCUCAUUGAAGAUGCAACUCUAGGAGCAAAGGAAUUGCGAAAGAAGCUUAAAGAACACCACAAGGUCAAAAUCAACUACAAGAGAGUAUAUAUGGAGAACCACCAAAGAAAAGGACAAAGACAACCAAAACAGCUGAGU